AGCUCCAAUAGCGUAUAUUAAAGUUGUUGCAGUUAAAAAGCUCGUAGUUGGAUUUCUGGUAUGAUGCACCUGGCCCGCCUCUUUUGAGCGUGUGUGUCGGGUCGCGUCUGCCAUCCUCCCAGGGAAUGUUUCUACCUUUCACUAGGUUGGAUUCGCUAACUGGGUCAUUUACUUUGAAAAAAUUAGAGUGUUUAAAGCAGGCUAUUGCUAUGAAUACAUUAGCAUGGAAUAAUAACUUAGGACUUCGGUUCUAUUUUGUUGGUUUCUAGAAUUGGAGUAAUGAUUGAUAGGGAUAGUUGGGGGUGCUAGUAUUGUGCGGCCAGAGGUGAAAUUCUUGGAUUCGCGCAAGACUAACUUAUGCGAAAGCAUUCACCAAGGAUGUCUUCUUUAAUCAAGAACG
rnacentral:rRNA from 1 species